UUCCCUUUCAUUCAAUGAACUGAUAAAGAAGGUCAUGUGUCAACUCUUUUACUUUUCUUUGUUGAAAAAUAUAUAAAAAUAUCUCAUACUAUAAAGUUGAAUUUCCUAUCCUCUUAUUUUUUGACAAUAAUAAAAUGAGCCAAAAAGUAAGUUCAAAUUUGGGUCCAAAUAAAAAAAAUGGGUCGGCUUGAUUUGGGCAUGAUACAGCACGAGUACAACACGACAUAGAACGUGCCUAUGGGUCGUGCAGGACUUACUCUUUUAAAUAUGGAUUGAGCCGGGACAACCUGAAUUAUUUAGAGGCACAAAAAUAUGAACCAUGCAGCUCUAUUUAUAACUAUAUAUUUGAAACAAAUAAUUUUAUUUUUGUGUUUUUCUUUUCCUAUUAGAUUUUUCUUUUUCUCUGUCCUUAUUUAAAUAUUUAUUAAUAUGCAAGCAAAGAAUUUUCUAAAUAAUUUUUUUUUUUUUAAAUUGUUGUUGUUGUUAGAGUUCCCCUUUCCUUUUAUAUAUUCUUUACUUUUAAACUAUUGCAAGCAUAAACAUUUAUUUUUGUUUGAUUUAUCUUAUGAUAUAUUUCACUUAUCUUUGUCCUUGUGCAAAGAAUUAUUAACAACGGUGUCAAAUGCGAAACAAAAAAACAAGUAUGAUUUAAAGUUUGUUUAAAACUAAUAGAGUAGAUAUAUCACUAAUAUAUUUUAGUUAUUUUAUUUCAGCAAUUCACUAAGAGUCAUCAUACAUGAUAAAUUAUUACAAACAAAAAAUAAUAAUUUAUUGCAGUGAGGAAAGAAUUUAUUAAUUUACUUUUUUUAUUUUUUGGAUAUUUGCGGCAUAAGUACUCAAUAUUUGGGAAAAAUAUCCAGCAUGGACCCAAUAUUUUUUUUUAGCAGCUUGGAGGUCGGCGUGGGGCUUGGGCAAUGGUUGGAGACGACGUAACCUGGGCAACCAAGCUGCUUCGGCGGGAUCUCAUCUUCUUCUUCACUUGACAGAUCGAUGGCGAGACUCGAAGUUGGUGCCUAAGUUCUGCAACACCAACAAGGGUGCGGCUACAAGUUGGGCUCAUGGAUAUGUUAUAUCAUUUUAAAUAAUAUAAUGUUAGAUUAAAUAAUGUGGCAUAAUGUGAUUUGUCACACCUUGUAACAUAUUAUUGAGAGUCACAAAAUUGGAUACAUGUAUGUGCCCAAAUGUGACAUAUUUUGAAGUUACAAAAACAAUUACAAAUUUGUAACUCCCAAAUAUUACCCAAUAAUAUGUAGAUUUGAUAUUA